rnacentral:rRNA from 1 species
UAAGGAAUAUUGGUCAAUGGACGCAAGUCUGAGCCAGCCAUGCCGCGUGAAGGAUGAAGGUCCUCUGGAUUGUAAACUUCUUUUAUCUGGGACGAAAACGGGAUUUUUAUCUCAAUUGACGGUACCAGAGGAAUAAGCACCGGCUAACUCCGUGCCAGCAGCCGCGGUAAUACGGAGGGUGCGAGCGUUAUCCGGAUUUACUGGGUUUAAAGGGUGCGUAGGUGGGCUUAUAAGUCAGUGGUGAAAUCUCCGAGCCUAACUUGGAAACUGCCGUUGAUACUAUAGGUCUUGAAUUAUCUGGAGGUAAGCGGAAUAUGUCAUGUAGCGGUGAAAUGCUUAGAUAUGACAUAGAACACCAAUUGCGAAGGCAGCUUACUACAUAUAAAUUGACGCUGAGGCACGAAAGCGUGGGGAUCAAACA